rnacentral:lncRNA from 1 species
AGAAGGAAAUCAUGGCCUCCCACUCCCGAUGGAGGCCCCAAUGUCUUGUCUCCCUUUUUUCACUGUCUGGGUGUCUGGGGCGCAUAGCGACACGGGACCGCCGGCUCGCUGGCCGGCUGCCCGUCCGGUCACGUGCUUGCGUCCCGACACCCACCAUAAAACCUAUGUUCUCUAAAUACACUCUCUCACUUCUCCUCUACCGACUGUGACGCCAACACCAUCCGCGGACCCCGGCUCCGACAAGGGCGGCCGAAAUGGCCGGCCCACAAUUGGUGCCAGCGGUGGUGGUUGGUUGUCGGUGGAGGAUUUUUGGCUUCAGGUUCGUGCUUCUUGUGGCGGAACGAGUGCAGCGUCAAAUAAUACCCAAAAGACAUGCAUGCUUCUCGAUAUUCCCAAUUAAUUUACAGUAUACUUUAUCGAACUAACUACUGAUUAGCUUUAAUUUUGGUCAUCUGGUAAAAAAAAAACGACUUCUAUAACAUUGACCAAUAACUUUUGGCCAUUCUGAACAAUUUACACCAGCGAAAGUAAUAAGUGGCAAUAAAAAAUUGUCCACAGAAAGUUUGCCAAUUCAACAAUUUACCAGCGAUAUAACUACAUUAGAAGUAUUGCUGUUUGCAUGCCUUCCCAAACGAUUUCACGGGUAUGACGUAAUACACAGAUGCACUCGUUCAGAAGACGCCACUCUUUAAAAGGACUUCAUUUUUUUCAACCAUAUAUUUUUUAUUGAACAACUAAGUAAGUUCUAACACAAUAGUUAGAUAUUCCAAUAACACUUAAACCCACUAAAAACAUUGGCCUCUUCAAUUUAUUCGUUAAAGUAAGUCACUUGGCAGUACUAUUAAAACCGGUCUUUUGCUAUAGUCAUUGGCUCAUUAGCCCCAUUUUUUCUCCCUUACUACUCACUUUGCGACGUAAACGAUCUCUCGAUCGACUGACCGGCGGUGCUGCCCGUUUUUAAAAUCAUUCAAUGUUUUGCUAUCCGCUGUGUCAAAACAUGUCUUCCGUGUCAUUUAUACCAUGAUGUCUUCCAAUGAAUGUUCAGCCUUCACAAAGUUCAUACUGCCGUUUUAUACACAAUUGUUAUCACACACCAGGGAAAAUGUAUCACUGACCGGCACAGCGAUAGCACAACAUUUUAACAAAAAGUGUAUGUGGAUGCAUGUUUGAAUACUUGGACACGGAUACAAAUUUGAAUGUCCUACGGACCCGAAUGUUUUGGCCUUUGAAAGUCCAUGGGUUCCGUGGCACGCCUGGGGAAGCAUUACGACACUUGUGUCGCCCAGUGCUACGUGCCUUUUGUACAAAUGUUGCACUGUACAGCUGCAAAUAUGAAUGACUGUUUUGUAUGAUGUAUAUGUUGGGGCAUUAUUUCGGCACAUUUUAAUUCGGUUCUUUUUCUAUUACAGCCCUUGAGUUUCUGUUACCCAUCUGGGAGUGGCCACUAUCUGACUCCCCGAGCAUCGACUACGGAGAAACGCCGAUACGCAUCACGGUCUGCAAAAGCUGGCUGAUGAUAGUCAUGAUGGGAUUGGACGCUCAUCGCCGACCCGUCUGGCUGUCUCAGUCGCUCUGCAUCUGGUCCACGAAUCACACACUGCAACUGCGGACGCCAUCACCGACUGCAACGGCUGCAACUGCAACCAGCAGGUGGCCUAGGUCCAAAGCCAACGCCUGGCUGACCCUCAUGGCCGCCUGCCGUCGCUGCUACCCCGUCUGCGCUUCGUGCUUCGCUGCUCUCUCUGUCAAAUCGUCUCGUCAAGGUCGUCACCAGUGCCAUCCGCCAUCAACAUGGAUUACACACCAUCGUCGUCACCAACGUUGUCGAUCAACAUCAAGGAGACCAGCACUCCGCAACCGGUUCAUCUUCUUCCGGUAUGCUGAAGCCCUCUGGUAUCGAUGCUGUGCGGCGGCAGCCGUUGCUCAAGGACGAUCGAGGCCUCAUCGUCACGGCACCCACGGCCGCUGCCCCUCACGAUCAAGUCGGACGUCAGCAUCAAAUCCGCAGAGAUGUCUGGUUCCACGAAUCGACAACGAAUCAACAACGCGGCGACGACGACGACGACGACGACAAGAACGAGACCAACAACUCGGACACCAUCAGCAGCAGCGACAACAGCAGUUGCACCAGUAGCAGCAGCAGCCGUACCUGCAGCAGCAGUCGUACCUGGCGUUCCAUGCGCGGUGUCAUACGUGGAUCUAUGCAGUUAGGAUCGUGAUUGCUUAUUGGUCGCCUCCUCUUGUCGGCUUGUUGGGGGAGGAAAGAUAUGUGGAGAAGGAAAUCAUGGCCUCCCACUCCCGAUGGAGGCCCCAAUGUCUUGUCUCCCUUUUUUCACUGUCUGGGUGUCUGGGGCGCAUAGCGACACGGGACCGCCGGCUCGCUGGCCGGCUGCCCGUCCGGUCACGUGCUUGCGUCCCGACACCCACCAUAAAACCUAUGUUCUCUAAAUACACUCUCUCACUUCUCCUC